GACGAACGCUGGCGGCGUGCCUAACACAUGCAAGUCGAACGGGACCAGAUGUCAGACAGCGGACAUCAGAAGACAGAUUACAGAUGGCAGAAUACAGAUUCAGAAGAGGGCGUGGAGGAAACCAAGCCUAGAUUCUAAUAUCCUAAGUCUGAGCAUUAGUAUCUGAACUCUGGUAUCUGGCGUCUGAUGUCUGGUCUAGUGGCGGACGGGUGAGUAACGCGUGAGCAACCUGCCUUACAGAGGGGGAUAACAUUCGGAAACAAAUGCUAAUACCGCAUAACAUAUAUUUACGGCAUCGUAGAUAUAUCAAAGGAGCAAUCCGCUGUAAGAUGGGCUCGCGUCCGAUUAGAUAGUUGGUGAGGUAAUGGCUCACCAAGUCUGCGAUCGGUAGCCGGACUGAGAGGUUGAACGGCCACAUUGGGACUGACGACACGGCCCAGACCUCCUACGGGAGCAGCAGU
rnacentral:rRNA from 1 species